GCGCCUAUAGCUCAGAUGGAAAGAGCACGGCCCUCCUAAGGCUGAGGGGGUGGUUCGAGUCCACCUAGGCGCA
rnacentral:tRNA from 1 species